UACGGUAGGGGGCGAGCGUUGUCCGGAGUACAUGGGCGUAAAGCGCACGCAGGCGGUCUGCUAAGUUUGGAGUGACAGUUGGUGGCUUAACUGCCAAAGUGCUUCGAAAACUGACAGACUUGAGGGCUUCAGAGGGACACGGAAUUCCGGGUGGAGUGGUGAAAUGCGUAGAGAUCCGGAGGAACACCAAAGGCGAAGGCAGUGUCCUGGGGAGUACCUGACGCUCAGGUGCGAAAGCCAGGGGAGCGAACGGG
rnacentral:rRNA from 1 species